GGAAGUGGGAUGAACGUCAAGUCCUCAUCGGCCCUUAUGACCGAGGCUACACACGUGCUACAAGUGGCGGUACAAAGAGUUGCGAUACCGCGAGGUGGAGCAAAUCUCACAAACCCCAUCCCAGUUCGGAUUGCAGGCUGAAACUCGCCUGCAUGAAGCCGGAGUUGCUAGUAAUCGCGAAUCAGCAUGUCGCGGUGAAUACGUUCCCGGGCCUU
rnacentral:rRNA from 1 species